rnacentral:pre_miRNA from 1 species
UGGUCAUUGCGCUACGCACAAAGAAGAUGCGCUGCUUGAUUUCACUUUGUGCGUGUGACAGUGACAAUG